CUCCGGUUGAUCCUGCCGGACCCGACUGCUAUCAGAGUGGGACUAAGCCAUGCGAGUCGACGUAGCAAUGCGUGGCGAACGGCUCAGUAACACGUAGUCAACAUGCCCAGGGGACGUGGAUAACCUCGGGAAACUGAGAAUAAACCACGAUAGGUCACGAUUUCUGGAAUGGAUCAUGGCCUAAAUCUACAUGGCCCCUGGAUUGGACUGCGGCCGAUCAGGCUGUUGGUGAGGUAAUGGCCCACCAAACCUAUAACCGGUACGGGCUCUGAGAGGAGAAGCCCGGAGAUGGGCACUGAGACAAGGGCCCAGGCCCUAUGGGGCGCAGCAGGCGCGAAACCUCUGCAAUAGGCGAAAGCCCGACAGGGUUACUCUGAGUGAUUUCCGCUAAGGGGAUCUUUUGGCACCUCUAAAAAUGGUGCAGAAUAAGGGGUGGGCAAGUCUGGUGUCAGCCGCCGCGGUAAUACCAGCACCCCGAGUGGUCGGGACGAUUAUUGGGCCUAAAGCAUCCGUAGCCGGUUCUACAAGUCUUCCGUUAAAUCCAGCCGCUCAACGGAUGGGCCGCGGAGGAUACUACAGGACUAGGAGGCGGGAGAGGCAAGCGGUACUCAGUGGGUAGGGGUAAAAUCCUUUGAUCCAUUGAAGACCACCAGUGGCGAAGGCGGCUUGCCAGAACGCGCUCGACGGUGAGGGAUGAAAGCUGGGGGAGCAAACCGGAUUAGAUACCCGGGUAGUCCCAGCUGUAAACGAUGCAGACUCGGUGAUGGGCUAGCCUUGUGCCAGCCCAGUGCCGCAGGGAAGCCGUUAAGUCUGCCGCCUGGGGAGUACGGUCGCAAGACUGAAACUUAAAGGAAUUGGCGGGGGAGCA
rnacentral:rRNA from 1 species